rnacentral:rRNA from 1 species
CCUACGGGGGGCAGCAGUGGGGAAUAUUGCACAAUGGGGGAAAGCCUGAUGCAGCGACGCCGCGUGUGGGAAGACGGUCUUCUGGAUUGUAAACCACUGUCCCCAGGGACGAAAAUGACGGUAGCUGGGGAGGAAGCUCCGGCGAACUACGUGCCAACAGCCGCGGUAAUACGUAGGGAGCAAGCGUUGUCCGGAAUUACUGGGUGUAAAGGGAGCGUAGGCGGGGAUGCAAGUUGGGUGUCAAAACUACCGGCUCAACCGAUAGUCGCACUCAAAACUGCAGCUCUUGAGUGAAGUAGAGGCAGGCGGAAUUCCUAGUGUAGCGGUGAAAUGCGUAGAUAUUAGGAGGAACACCAGUGGCGAAGGCGGCCUGCUGGGCUUUUACUGACGCUGAGGCUCGAAAGUGUGGGGAGCAAACAGGAUUAGAUACCCCGGUAGUC